rnacentral:lncRNA from 1 species
GUCUAUUUCUUCUUUUGGUAAACAAUAUUCAAUCGAUAUCUGCUAUUGUAUAAAUUGGCUAGUAACUUUUUGUUUUUAAUUGGAGAAUUACAUUUUGAAAUUUUAACCUAAAUCAUUCAAGGCGGAUCAUACUCAUUAGAGUUCAUUGGAUAGGCAGUCAACAAGCAUCGUCGUAUGGCCGAAAUUCAUACCUUAUCGAAGACCAUACUAUAAUUGUUUACUUUUUACACACUGUGACUUGGAUGGAGAGUGG